UGACUGAUUGACAUAAUGAUAGCUAAUAU
rnacentral:piRNA from 1 species